rnacentral:ncRNA from 2 species
ACACGUGACACGGGGUGCCCCGAAGGCUGAGAACACACCCGUCGAACCUGAUCUAGUUCGUACUAGCGAAGGGAUGUCGCGCACCAUGCGC